AAAGCACACAAAACCUGCUCCUGUUUUCUCAAAGCUACAGAUGUCUUCUUGGGCUCUCCUUUGGAGCAACUUUCCAAUUUCCUCUGAAACAUGACCUUGGAAUUCAAGGCAUAUUAAGUCUUUCACACACAAGUUCCAUUUGGAAACAAAGAACGUGUAAGAAGAGGGAGGUGGAGGAGGAGAACAUUCCUUUUCAAGGAAGAUCGCUCCAGUCUAAUCUGAGGAAAACAUCAUCUAUAACCAUACUAAGGGAUGUCCUCCACAAUAUCUGCCCGGUACUCUUCAAAACUGUCAAAGUCACCAAAAACAAGAAAAGUCUAAGAAUCUCUAUCAAGAGGAACCUAAGGAGAUGUGACUAUUAAAUUAAUGUGACAUCCUAGAUGGAAUUCUGGAACAGAAAAAAUACAUUAGGUAAAAACUAAGGCAAUCUGAAUAACAAUCUGAAUAAACUAAGUUAAUAAUAGUUUAUGAACCGUGAUUGAUUAAUUGUAACAAAUGCACCAUAAUAAUGUAAGAUGUUAAAAAUAGGGAGAAUUGGUGUGGGGUAUAUGGGUACUCUCUGUACUAUCUUUACAAUUUUUCUGUAAAUCUAAAACUGUUCUAAAAAUGAGAUCUCUUCAAAGAAAAAAAAUGUUUUGCAGCACCUGGGCUAUUCAUCACCAAGGUGUCUGUAGCGCUAAUAAACUAAGGGUUUUUUUUGGUUUUGUUUUAACUGUUCCAUCUAGGGAACCCAGAGGCCCAACUUAUUCCUUGGUCCACUGUAUAAAUACAAAAAAUUGAAAACCCUGGGUGAAAAAAGAUGUGGGCAAGGAUGUGAGCAAGAUGUGAGCAAAAAGAUGUGAGCAGGAUGUGAACAAGAAUGAAAAGGCUGCCAAAAUUGAUUUUCAAAAGACAGAAAAUUGUGAUGCUUAA
rnacentral:lncRNA from 1 species